UCCAUAAUAACAAUGAAAUCUGCAUCUAUUUGUUUAAUUUUUUUUUUUUAAAAGGGAAAAAAAAUUCAUAACUUCAAGGCUUUGAAGAACAUAGUGGGGAUAAAAAUUUCUAUUUUAGGUUUUUUUUUUUUUAAAUAAUAUUUUUUUUUCAAAAGCAUGAAUGGAGCAAUGGCCGCAAUACACAAAACACACACAAAAAAAAAAAAUCUUUUAAAAAAAAAUUAUAGGUGAAAGAAGAUGCGAUUUUUUGGCCGGAUUUAAAUCGUAUUAUGAAAAAAGCGGCGUUUUAAAAGUUUUUAAGAAAAGUACGCGACUUUUUCCCGACCUUUUCAAAAAGUUCGUUUAAAACUGUUUCAUAAAAAUACCGAUUUUUUUUUAAAAUUUCCUAUUAAACCGGGAUUUGCGAACUAUGGGUGGGACUGAGUGUAGCGCAACGAUGCAGACAAGGAGGCCGGCGAACCAGCCUGUAUACUAUCCUCCCAAAGGACGAGGGAGCAUAGUUUACAUAUACUUCCAAUCAGAAGACCUACUUGGGAUUUUUGAUUUGAAAUUUUGGAAAUAUUAACUCCACAUUAAUUCACCAUCCCUAAUAAGUAAAAAAUGUCGAUUGAUACUAUUCAUGGAAAAGAUAAUAAAUACCUUACUUAUUCAACCAAGAGGCACUUGAUACUAUUCAGACAAUUCAUGUAAAAGAUAAUAAAUUCCUUACUUAUUCAACCAAGAAAUAUCAACUCCACAUUAAUUCAGCAUUUUAAUCAUCGCAUCUCGGUGCCAUUUAUGGAAUACGGGUAUUGGAAUAAACUUGAUACUAUUCAUGGAAAAGAUAAUAAAUUCCUUACUUAUUCAACCAAGAAAUAUCAACUCCACAUCAAUUCACCAUCCCUAAUGAAGUAACCAGAAGUCAGUCGAUUGAUACUCUUCAUGGAAAAGAUAAUAAAUGCUUACUUAUUCAACCAAGAGGCACUCGAUACUAUUCAUUGUAAAAGAUAGUAAAUUCCCUACUUGUUCAACCAAGAAAUAUCAACUCAACAUUAAUUCAGCAUUUUAAUAAUCGCAUCUCAGUGCCAUUUCUGGUAUACGGGUAUUGGAAUUAACUUGAUGCUAUUCAUGGAAAAGAUAAUAAAUUCCUUACUUAUUCAACCAAGAAAUAUCAACUCCACAUUAAUUCACCAUUUUAAUCGUCGCAUCUCAGUGCCAUUUCUUGUAUAAAUAGUGGGUAUUGGAAUAACCAUGUUUUACUCUUUACAACUGCUACAGCCAUGUCUGUUCUGUCUCAAUCUUCAUCAUUCUUCUUCCUCGCCAUUAUCAUCGCUUGCCAGUGCUUUUACUUUGUGUUAACAGCGCCUGAUGGUGCAAAGGUGUUGAACUUUCCGGGCUUUGAUGGGGAACUUCCCUCUAAGCAUUAUGCAGGGUACAUCACUUUAGGUAAUGAAGGGAAUAGAAGGCACAUGUAUUACUAUUUUGCUACUUCAGAACGCAAUCCUUCAAAAGAUCCAAUUGUAUUUUGGACUCAUGGUGGUCCUGGAUGUUCAGGAAUGAAUGCCAUUGUAUACUUUCAUGGUAGAAGUAGCUGGAAGGUGGAAAAGGUGCACCGAUGAGCUGAAAUAUCGAUAAGAAAAGAUAAGCUUGAUCCAGCAUCACUUAAAUCUCACAUUGAGAGGUUACCGAGCCUUUAUUUACAGUGGGGACCAUGACAUGACUGCUCCAUAUAUUGGAAUCUUGGAAUGGAUAAGAAGGUUGAAUUAUACAGAGUUGGAGAGCUGGCGACCAUGGUUCGUAGGACCCUAGAUAGCAGGAUACACAGUUCAAUAUGAGCACAACCUGCAUUUUGCUACAUUCAAGGGGCUGGGCACACUGCGACAGAAUUCACACCUCGCGAAUCACUGGUGGCCUUCCAACGAUGAAUUGACGGUGCUGAUAACCUCUAAAUGCACUUCACCUUGGAAAUGAUAAAUAUGUAACAGUUUAACCCAUUUGAGUUAGUAAUUUUUACGGGUAACCUAAAUACACGUCUCCCGCCAUUCUCCCUCUCUCACUCGUCCACUUCUGUCUCUCAAGCUCGACUCAAAACGUAGCAGAGCAUUAUCAUCAUCUCUCUUCCCUGGUAAGCCUAACUCCUCUCUCUCUUUAUAGCCUUUCUCCACUCUAAUAAAAACCGUUCUCCCUCUCUACUUUUCACAUCCACUUCUCUCUCAAGCUCGUCUCAAAACCUAGCAGAGUUUCAUCACUAUCGUUCUUUUCUGGUAAGCCCUAACUCCUCUCUCUCUAAAGCCUUCUCUCUCUUCUUUAGCGUUAACUAAUGGUUCGCAUGAGCUUCUGCUCACCCCCUUUCUCUCUUCUUUUUUCUUGGAAGAUAAGCCUAACAGAGAAUCAUCAUGAUUUUUGGGUUUUUUUUAGAACAGUUUCUGGCUUAUUUCGUUCGGAGUAGGAUGACAAGAGCGUUCCUCACCUCCCAGUAGUAGGCUUUGAUUCUUCUUUUUCCCACCUGUUUACCUUUGGUAUCUUUGUUAUACAUGGCUUUAUUAAUCCAUAACAUUAUUUUUUCUUCCCGCCAUUCCUUCCCCUAACAUACCUCUUUGUUUUACACAGUCCAACAGGACGAUGGUCAUAUGAUUGAUUACAUUUCAACAGCCUCUCUCACAAUUUCAUAUGUACUCAAACUGGGAUGUUCCGAAAGAAGACUGUAAUGGCCUUCUAUAAAAUUAAAACAUGAAAUAUGUAGGAGAUAACUCUUCCCUUGCACAAAGAGAGGAAUAUAUCUAUCACUAUAAGCAAUGCUCCAACACCAGUAGAAGUCUUCAUCAUUUUUGGGUUUUUUGAUAACUCAUCACCAUUUUUGGAUUUUUUUGGGAAAAUCGUCCUAGUAGAGCAUCAUCUUCUUUUUUGAUCUCAUAAUUUUUGCAGCUCUAUUAAUUAUGGAGUGGUUGACAUAGCCAAACAAUAGCAAUGUAUUUUUUUAAGUUGUAUUUAGAUGCUACCCAAAUAAUAACUAUUUGUAGUAAUGUAUUAUGCCAGUAAUGUAUUUAUUUGACAA